rnacentral:rRNA from 1 species
AGUGAACGCUGGCGGUAGGCCUAACACAUGCAAGUCGAACGGCAGCACAGUAAGAGCUUGCUCUUACGGGUGGCGAGUGGCGGACGGGUGAGGAAUACAUCGGAAUCUACUUUUUCGUGGGGGAUAACGUAGGGAAACUUACGCUAAUACCGCAUACGACCUACGGGUGAAAGCAGGGGAUCUUCGGACCUUGCGCGAUUGAAUGAGCCGAUGUCGGAUUAGCUAGUUGGCGGGGUAAAGGCCCACCAAGGCGACGAUCCGUAGCUGGUCUGAGAGGAUGAUCAGGCACACUGGAACUGAGACACGGUCCACACUCCUACGGGAGGCAGCAGUGGGAAAUAUUUGACAAUGGGCGCAAGCCUGAUCCAGCCAUACCGCGUGGGUGAAGAAGGCCUUCGGGUUGUAAAGCCCUUUUGUUGGGAAAGAAAGGCAGCAGGUUAAUACCCCGCUGUUCUGACGGUACCCAAAGAAUAAGCACCGGCUAACUUCGUG